AUUAAGAUAUAAUCAAUUACAUAUAUUUAAAGCACUCUCGAAUAUCUAAAAUCGGAUCGAGUGGUGAUGCUUGUCGCUGAUAUCCAGAUCAUCAGCAUAAUGAGGCAGGUCAACCCAUCGCUCUAACCAAGCAGCGUUGUAGUGUUGUAUGCUCAGUCUCCGAAAAAUGCGUGUCAGGUCAUAAGAACUCUCGGAUCUCUCGCUGAAGCUUUGGCUCUAAGAGGUAUCCUGUUGUUGAUAACAUUGCGGUGGAGGAGCCCAUCCGAAUAUGCCGGCACCAAAAUCCGACUCGUAAGACCCUCCAGGCUCCGCAGGAUAGUAGCCACCGGAAGAUGACUCCGAUGCAUCAUAUCCAUAG
rnacentral:lncRNA from 1 species